rnacentral:lncRNA from 1 species
CACAGAGCACUGGGCUGAGCUGCCUGUGUUACACAGCAACUUCCCACUUGGCUUUUCAAUUAUUUGACUGAAGAGAGAAAGACAGACAGAGAGAGGCAGAGAGGUGUGACAUCAGCUCACAUCAAUGUUCAGUGUGGAUCUGAGAGCGAAAUGAGGGGAAAUUGAGAGAGGCCUGUGUCCAGGAAGAAGGUGCACUGGGUUUUGAUGAUGACCAGGGAAAGGAAAGGAAAGGCCUCAUGAAGAAUUUGCAGACCUUGUCUAGUGAAAACCUGGCCUUAUUACAGAUCACAGGCCCCUGCCCACCAUUGUUGCCGUAAUUUAAUCCGAGAGAGGACUCUGACAUUGGCAGUAUCAUGUUUCUUAAUAGUAUUAGUCAAGCAGAGCUUGAAGGAAGGUACCCAGUGACUUCAAAGGAUAUUUUUAAGAAAGUGAAAUAAGAAGGAAGUGAGAAUCCAUGGGAAUGUCACUGGAUACCAUGGUUUCCACCCUGAGUUUUGGAAAAACCGCAUAACCUCCAAACUGUGUUCUGAGAAAAACAGUUGUCUGGUACAAAAGCAUGAGAAGUGAUAUAAAACGUUAGUUCAAAGCCUUUGGGGAAAAAAAAGAGGAACCCAAAGACAGUCACUGUCUCCUCUAAUGAACCCCCACAUGGAGAGGGGCUGCUGCUUGGAGAGCUGGUGCCUUUGAACUGUGAGUCAGACAACGGGGUGCCUCCUCACGCCUUCCGACGGGGCUGAGCCCCCAGACUUCCUGAGAAGCGCCUGCGCAAAGCGUCUUCUCCCUGGACUCGUUGGGGACUUAAACAGAAGACGCAGAGGGUGACUGCACAGUGACUGCCAGU